CGAGUUCUUUCCGUCUGGAGCUUCCCGAAUCACCUCCGAUCUGUCACUUCGGUGAGCGAUCGGCGUGAAGUAAAUUUAGCAGAAGGAGUGAAAGGUCGACGCAAAAGGCCCGGAGACGGCGGCGAUGAGUCUACGCUUCGCCCGAUGCCCGUUUCAUAAACAUGGUGUUGCUCGCAGCCGGAAUCCCGAAAGCCACAAGAAACUCGAACCCGGACAUGAAUUUCACGCCAACAACAGUGGAAUAGGCCCUUCUGUAGGCAACAUAACAUAUCGCCGCAAGUGAAGAGCUGAAUGAGUCACCACAAUACACCAAGUAGCUGUUCUUCCAGCGACAACUGCAGCACGGCAGCAAUCAACACUGAAAAGCAAAACAAGCUCCAGUGAAAACACAAAGUGCCGAUCAAGAGCCUCAGUCAGAGUGUCAGUAAGGAGUGCUCCAGCGUAUUUCUCCCAUUUUGUGAUAAGCUACCAAUGCUUGUUUGUGUUGCACAUGUUUAAACCAGUUCAGUCACACGAGUAUACCCAAUGUUUAUUUAUUACUAUAUUGUACAUAGUAUUUAUUAGUACUCAUUCCUAAUAUACACAAUAUUUAUCGAAGCACAUCUUAAAUUACGUAAUGUAAUGUAAGAUGUCAACUCGUUCUUACACUCUCGGGACUGUUUAUUUUCUGAACGCAAAAUUCAUGCAAAAUAAUUUCAACGUAAAUCUGGCUGUUAUCAAUUCUGAGCUCUGUGGACAUCUUGAUGAGUGUCACAGUUGUUGUGCUGACAUAUACUCUGCCUUCGUGCUCAGGAAAGAAAGAAAUUUAGGCAAAAUCUUUAUUCUUGAACAAGUGGAGGUUGCAAGUAGGGAUAAUUGUGUUAUUUGUUCCCAUUUCCUUCGCUAUUGAGGUUUCUUGCUUCAAAAUGUAUUGGUAUUGAUUAAAAUAUUUUUCUUUAA